AAAAUCAGAAGCAGGUAACCAGAUCCAGGUAACCAUACGUAGUCACCAGUACUCCAGGUAACCAGAACAGGCGGGUCACCGAACAGGCGGGUCACCAGACAGGCAUGGUAACCAGACCAGGCAGGUAACCAGACAGGUCCAGGUGUAACCAGACGGGCAGUAACCAGACAUCCAGUAACCAACAGAGGUCACCAGACACAGGCACCAGACAGGCAGGUAACCAGCAGUAACCAGACAGGCAGGUAACCAGACAGGCAGGUCACAGACAGGCAGUACCAGACAGUAGUAACCAGACGUAGGUAACCACAGGCAGGUACCAGCAGGCAGGUAACGCAUACAGGCAGGGUACCAGACAAGGCAGGUAACCAGACAGGCAGGUCACCAGACAGGCAGGUCACCAACAGGCAGUCACAGACACAGGUAACCAGACAGGCAGUAACCAGACAGGCAGGUAAACCAACAGGCAGUAACCAGACAGGCAGGUAACCAACACAGUUAACCAGACAGACAGGUCCAGACAGGUAGGUAACCAGACAGGCAGUAACCGAACGAGCAGGUAACCAGACAGGUGGUAACCAGACAGGUAGGUAACCAGACAGGCAGGUUACCAGACAGGCAGGUAACCAGACAGCGGAACCCUUUGCUGUAUUCUACAACAAAACAUAUCAUAGACAAAAUACUGAAUCGUGUCAAAAAAAUUACCAAUCAUAAUUUGGUUUACUUUUCGCUCAGCCAAUCACUUCUAAACGCACCUGUACCCCAUUCCCAAACAGCACCCUGUUCCUCAGUCCCAACACAGCACCCUGUCCCCAUUCCCAACAGCACCCUGUCCCCAUUCCCAAACAGCACCCUGUUCCUCAUCCCAACAGCACCCUGUUCCCCAUUCCCAACGCACCCUGUUCCCCUUCCCACACACCCUGUUCCUCAGCCCCAAACAGCACCCUGUUCCCCAUUCCCAAACACACCUGUUCCCCAUCCCAAACAGCACCUGUUCCCAUUCCUCCCAAACAGCACCCGUUCCUCAGUCCAAAACUGCACCCUGUACCCCAGCCCAAACAGCACCCUGUCCCCAGUCCCAAACAGCACCUGUCCAUCAGUCCCAAACUGCACCCUGUACCCCAGUCCCAACACGCACCUGUUCCCCAGUCCCAAACAGCACCCUGUUCCCCAUUCCCAAACAGCACCCUGUUCCUCAGUCCCAAACAGCACCCUGUUCCCCAGUCCCAAACAGCACCCUGUUCCCCAGUCCAACAGCACCGUCCUCAGUCCCAAACUGCACCCUGUACCCCAGUCCAAACAGCACCCUGUUCCCCAUCCCAACAGCACCCUGUUCCCCAGUCCCAUAAACCUGAAAUCCAGAACCUGUUUUGGUGCUUAACAUUCCACUCUUGUAUUUUUGUGUCAUACCCAAACAUUGUUUUGGCAUGAUAAGGACAAACAGACUGUAUUUCUCCAAACACAAACCACACACACACACACACACACACACACGUUAUGCCCCCGAGUCAAGUACAUUUAAAAGAGUAAAAUUAGACACUAUAUAUAUUUCAUUUUUUUAAAAAUCAAAAACGAAUUAAGGCCAAAAUAUAUGCAAUGCUUUUACAUAUUAUAAGAUAAAUAGCUCUAAAAUAUGUGUUAAUAAAUGUUGUUUCAGAAUAUUACGCUAUAUCGAGUUAUGUACAAUUUCUAUUUACAUACAUAAAUAAAAAUACAAAACAAACUAGAUGUAAUUUGCAUAAAACAGAACCUAAACUAUGGUUAUUAAACAUAUUACCAUCUGUAUAUAACAUACACACAGAGUCUACAAAACAUUAAGAACACCUGCUAUUUCCACUGACAUAGACUGACCAGGUGAAUCCAGGUGAAAGCUAUGAAUCCCUUAUUGAUGUCACUUGUUAAAUCCACUUCAAUCAGUGUAGAUGAAGGGGAGGAGACGGGUUAAAGAAGGGUUUUUAAGACUUGAGGCAUCGAUUGUGUAUUUGUGCCAUUCAGAGGGUGAAUGGGCAGGACAAAUCAUUUGGGUGCCUUUGAACAGGGUGUGGAAGUAGGUGCCAGGUUUGUGUCAAGAACUGCAACGCUGCUGUUUUUUUUUUUACAGUAAACAGUAGGAAGGUGUUCUUAAUGUUUGGUAUACUCCGUGUGUAUAAUUGCUUUUCUAAUGAAAAUAAAAAGACACAAAGUAAAUCAAAGCACCAAAGUCGAUUGUUAGGACCAAAAACACAGCGCAGCACAAGCAGGACAGUCGAUAUUCUCCAAUAGUACGUAUCACAGUUAAUAACACAGAAACUAUAUGUGGUUGUUGUAUCGGUCUUUCACUGCAAGCACUACUGUUUCCAACAUGAAUGUAGUCUCUUGUACAUAGUUGAACAACAUGAAUGAGAACAAGAGUACUGAAAUAUGAAAGGAAUAGAUCAAAAUAUCGGUAGUGGGGGGAUGCACGAUAUAUCGGUGAACAUAUUGGAAUCGGCUGAUAUGAGUUAAAAAUGCCUGACAUCGGUAACGUCCCUAUGACUAGUUUAACGCCGAUGUUAAAAACCAAUGUCAAAGCUACCGUGCUUCAUAACGUAGGUGAGGUACAUGACGUAAUUACACCAUGUCAAAUUUUGCGCUAAACGUGCAACACAGCAUUCCUAACCUAGCCAGCAAUGUCGGCUGUGUGGAUCGAGCAGUCAACAAGUCCAGCUGUCAUUUGAAAGAGUAAGAACAUUUCAGUGAGGAGACUCAUAGGCGAAAUACAUUAAAGCCAAGAUGAUGGAAUUCAUUGCCCUUGACAAUCAACCGUUCUCUGUCGUGGGUGAUGUUGGCUUUCGCCAACUGGUCGAGCACCGUUACACACUACCAAGUGAGCUAUUUUUCAGAUGUUUCCCCACCAGAGUUACACAGCAAUAGCGUCACUGCUAUUAGCUUCACGAAAUACAUACUAUGGAACGCCGUUUGAGUCUGUGUCUCAAAAAAGAUACAGUAGCUCUGUCAAAGCUGUACAAAGAAGUCUGCAACACCGUCCACGAACAAUGUGUUUACAAUACCGCGUUGGUAAUAAAGCAUCAUUUGUUCAACCGCAACUUCUGUGGUAGCUAGCUUUAGCUUGGUAGCUAGCUUUAGCUUGGUUGCUGGCUUUAGCUUGGUAGCUAGCUUUAGCUUGGUUGCUGGCUUUAGCUUGGUAGCUGGCUUUAGCUUGGUAGCUGGCUUUAGCUUGGUAGCUGGCUUUAGCUUGGUAGCUAGCUUUAGCUUGGUAGCUAGCUUUAGCUUGGUUGCUGGCUUUAGCUUGGUUGCUAGCUUUAGCUUGGUUGCUGGCUUUAGCUUGGUAGCUAGAUAGCACCAAUACAACCAGCCUGAAAACAAUGACCAGUAGAAACUGCAGUCAUUUCAUUAUCCUUAACAAUGAUUUAGGAAUCCUUGUGAGUAAGUAUUAGCUAGGUUGCCACUUGUUGUUCACCUAUUGAAAUUGAACUUCAGUUCAUUAAAAUAAAUAGCUAGCCAGCUACUUAACCCUGUUGCCCAAAGCUAACGUUAUAAGCAGCCAGCUGGCUUCAUCUGGCUAGUGAGGCUCGACUGGACCAGGUUAUGUGUUGUGAAUCUAGCCACAAUAAGAAUUAGGCACAAUAGUGGAAUUUGCAGGUGGCCUUCAAAAUAAAAGUAUGUCAUUGACAGUGAUGCAAAUGAAUACAAAUAGUAUAAUUAUGCCACACUUUUAUUUUGAAGGUUAACUGCAAAGUCCACUAUUGUGGCUAAUCCUUAUUGUGGCUAGCUUCACAUAGAUGGGUCCAACCACCAUAAAUCAAAUAAGAACUGUCUUGUAAAUUAGGGUUAUUUUAGAUGAUGACACCUAGCUUUAUAGCUAGCUAACUAUAGCUACUGAAACAGAUGUUGUAUUGCUAUGUUUUUGGGGAAGCACAUUGUUUGUCUCCAUGAGCUAGCUAGCUUUUUAUUUUAUGACCAGCCCUGUAGGUGAGCGAGACAACUUCACCAGCAUCAUAGCAGACGUAUCGAUGAAUCGUUGUGACAUAUAUGAAAUACAAGUGAUGCUGUAAUCAAUGUGUAAUAACUACGUAAAAAAAUGACCUGUAACUUCUUCUUCAAGAGGCUCCUCUGUCCUCCACUCGUUACCUGUAUUAAUGGCACCUGUUUGAACUUGUUAUCAGUAUAGCAGACGUAUCGAUGAAUCCCUGUGACAUAUAUGAAAUACGUGUGAUGCUGUAAUCAAUGUGUAAUAACUACGUUAAAAAAUUUAUGAACGCGUUAAAUGUAUUAUGUGACGUGCCGUCAUAUUCAGGUCCUGAUUGGUCAACAAGCUUAUUUGACACUCAGUGUUAUUUGAUGUGUAUCUUUUUCGACACGCAAAAGACCAAAAUGGUGUUCCAUAGAAAUCUUGGUUGAGAAUGAAACGACUGAACAAAUGAACAACGAAACAGCACAGCGAGUACUUUAAUUAAAUAGGUUUUUUAUUAUGUUUCACUGGUAAUGGGGACAUAUGUAAAUGCCAACAAAAUAACUUUUUGGUCAGUGUGGUGUUUGACCUUUAUUUAACUUGGCUAGUUAGUUAAGAACAAAUUCUUAUUUACAAUGACGGCCCGGACGACACUGGGUCAAUUGUGCGCCGCCCUAUGGGACUCCCAAUCACGGCCAGAUGUGAUACAGCCUGGAUUCGAACCAGGGACUGUACAUCUGACCAACAUGCCCUCUAAAUACACCUCUUCCGUCUUCAACCAGGAUCUCAGCGAUCACUGCCUCAUUGCCUGCAUCCGUAAUGGGUCCGUGGUCAAAUGACCACCCCUCAUCACUGUCAAACGCUCCCUAAAACACUUCAGCGAGCAGGCCUUUCUAAUUGACCUGGCCCGAGUAUCCUGGAAGGAUAUCCACCUCAUCCCGUCUGUAGAGGAUGCCUGGUUGCUCUUCAAAAGUGCUUUCCUCUCCAUCUUAAAAAAGCAUGCCCCAUUCAAAUGUAGAACUGAGAACAGAUAUAGCCCUUGGUUCACCCCAGACUUGUCUGCCCUUGACCAGCACAAAAACAUCCUGUUGCGUUCUGCAUUAGCAUCGAAUAGUCCCCGUGAUAUGCAACAUUUCAGGGAAGUCAGGAACCAAUAUACACAGUCAGUUAGGAAAGCAAAGGCUAGCUUUUUCAAACAGACAUUUGCAUCCUGUAGCACUAAUUCCAAAAACGUUCUGGGACACUGUAAAGUCCAUGGAGAAUAAGAGCACCUCCUCCCAGCUGCCCACUGCACUGAGGAUAGGAAACACUGUCAACACCGAUAAAUCUACGAUAAUCGAUAAUUUCAAUAAGUAUUUUUCUACAGCUGGCCAUGCUUUCCACCUGGCUACCCCUACCCCGGCCAACAUCUCAGCACCCCCUGCAUCAACUUGCCCAACCGCCACCCAAAUCCAGACAGCUGAUGUUCUGAAAGAGCUGCAAAAUCUGGAUCCCUACAAAUCAGCUGGGCUAGACAAU
ensembl:lncRNA